CUACGGGGGGCUCCAGUGGGGAAUAUUGCACAAUGGGCGAAAGCCUGAUGCAGCAACGCCGCGUGAGUGAAGAAGGCCUCCGGGUCGUAAAACUCUUUUCUUGAGGAAGAAUAUUGACGGUACUCAAGGAAUAAGCCCCGGCUAAUUACGUGCCAGCAGCCGCGGUAAUACGUAAGGGGCAAGCGUUAUCCGGAAUCACUGGGCGUAAAGGGUGCGUAGGUGGUCAAAUAAGUCAGAAGUGAAAGGCUAUGGCUCAACCAUAGUAAGCUGUUGAAACUGUUUGACUUGAGUGCAGGAGAGGAAAGUGGAAUUCCUAGUGUAGCGGUGAAAUGCGUAGAUAUUAGGAGGAACACCAGUGGCGAAGGCGACUUUCUGGACUGUAACUGACACUGAGGCACGAAAGCGUGGGGAGCGAACAGGAUUAGAUACCCGCGUAGUC
rnacentral:rRNA from 1 species